GUCGCGGUGAGCGCGCGGAGGCCCGGGCUUCUUAAUGGUUUUCUGUUUUGCUCUGGCUGUUUUCUCACUCUUUUUUCCUGGCCUGAGCGAGGAGCGGGGCUGAGAAGAGUGGUAGAGUUUCAGAAACCCACAUCCACAGAGCCUUGGCGAAGAGACGGGAAACCGCCUCACCCCGGGUUCUUGUGUGGGCGCUGUUUACUGCACCCUCCUCGCCCGAGGCGACCUGACAGCGAAGCAGAGCGUAGGUCUAGGUGGCUGAGACGCCAGGGGAGGUGAAGUGACCGAAGGAAAUGUUUCCUGACAUAUUCGGUGGAUUUUUUUUAAAAACAUAUAGCAUCUGUAAGUUGUAUCGUCAAAGGUAAAUAAAAGAACCUGUGACGCUCAGCGAUAACCCGGUCCUAUUUUCUAAUUCUCCCUUCUCGUUGUAGACUUUAGUUUGUUGUUUGUAGCUUAUCCAUGCCAUCUACAGAAUGAAAACAUCCAAAUGCAAACUAGAAAUAGUAGUGUUUACUUGGUGAACCUGGCUGUGAUACUUUAAGUUUCUGGGGUUUGUUUUUGUUUUUGUGGGCCAGCUUCAGCUUUUUUGGGCCAGCAGUCCAAAAAGCAAAUUACACCGGCUGUGGAGGCAGAGUACUGCUGUUGCAGUUUUGCACAAUUUUAAUCUCUUUCUCAAUGCAUGCCCGGGCUCGUGUAUUUACCAGUGUUGGUCAAGGGUAUAUUAGCAAUGUUCAGUAUUUUUUCCCCCACAGGAGUGUUUAGCACACUAAGCACGUUGCGUUGGUUGCAAUUCAUCUUAGGCCUUAUUACUGAAUGUAAAAUGCCUUCAUCUCUUGGGGGAAAAGGUGCGGUGAAAAUGCAAAUCAUCAUUUAGCUAAAACUGAACAGCUGUUACAAGAGUCCAUAAUUGCAGAACUAUUGCACCACUUUCAUCUUGGCACCAGGAUGGGUGAAUGAGUGAGUAAAAAAGCCCCUCAGUUCACAAGACGACAGACUAUUUUCUUUUCUACCUAUGUUAAUUUUCCAUUUCCCUCCCUAGCAACACCAGCCCCACACCAUCUUCUGUGAAACAUGUCAAAAUGGCCUUAAGCCUGGAAGAAGUCUCACUCUUUCCCAACUAUCUAAGAGUCUAGGCUGACAUAAAAUGAAUAAUUAUCUUUGGCUUUGUAAGCAGCAAAGCCAAGCAAGUCACUUCAGGAGUCCAAAUAGUGGACCUGCCUCAAUGGCAUCUUGCCACAGUAUUUCUCCGUAGCACACAAACACUCUCCCAGGGAGAAAUACCACCAAUUAUAGAAGGAAAGAGGAAAAUAAAUACCUGAAAAAAUGUAAAUCAGAUAAUGUGAUAGCCUCACAGAUUUAAGCAUCUUUAAAU
rnacentral:lncRNA from 1 species